UGCAGUCGAGCGGAACGAUGAUAGCUUGCUAUCAGGCGUCGAGCGGCGGACGGGUGAGUAAUGCUUAGGAAUCUGCCAGUAUGGGGGAAACAUUUGGAAAAGGCUGCUAAUACCGCAUACGCCCUACGGGGGAAAGCAGGGGAUCUUCGGACCUUGCGCUAUUG
rnacentral:rRNA from 1 species